AGAAAAAAAAAAGGGAUCGCCCAGCUAAACCCUAAACUAUUAGUCGUCCUCUACUCGGCAGACACUACUCUAUCUAUUCUACCAUGGAGUUUGCGACUCUCACCGCAGUCACUUCAUCGCCAUAAUAAGGCUACAACCUCCAGUUUACCACCUUCUUGGUCUUCUUAUUCUUCUUCACUCUUCAAAUCAAAGAGAAAAAUGAAUUUUUAAAGAACCAUCUCAAUUUCUCAACUGAAUUAUGACUGCAGGGUUCUAAAAUGGAUGAAUCUUUUCAAUCAUGUGCGAACCUGCUAGAUGUUACCGGAGGAUUAAGAACAAACCAUAUUCUAGGUACUGUCGUGGUGUACCUGACACCAAUGAUUAGAGGGAUGAAAAGGGAAGGAGUUGAUGAGUUCCCCUUCUAUGUCCACUUUGUGAGUUGGGAGAAGGAAAAUAUCUCCACUGAGUCUUUGAAGGCUGCCCGUAUCACCUGCAACAACUACAUGGCCAAGUCUACAGAGAAGGAUGUUUUCCAUUUCAGAGUCAGGUGUUGGUGCAUAUGUUUAAUCCCUAAUCUCCACUUUGAUAUUCAGGUGAAUGCUUUUGCCAUUUAUACUUGAUUAAUUAUAGAUUGGGUGGUGUUGGUGGUGAUACGUGCAUAAGUUGGUAGAUAUUUUUGAAUCCCCAGCGGUUUCUUGCAGUGGUGUUGGUGGUUGGUGAUAUUUUUCUUAUCAUUGUUUGAUAAUGAAGAUAGUGCUUCUGCAACUGUUGGUGUUACGGGUGGUUGUUAGUGUUUCAGAUGUUGACCGUGUACAAGGAUUUAGGUGCGGUGGUGAUAGUUUUGAUCCAUGGACAAAAACCAAGAGAAAAUUCAGUCGAAGUCUAAGCAAGGAAAGCAAGUAGCAAAACAAAAGAAGAACGAGGAAUAUACGUGAAGCAUUUUAUAAACAUACCCAUGGUCAUUAUGGAUCUCGUUCUGGCCAGAGAAGAAAAAUCUGAGCUUGACGCCAAUGGAAUGAGUCUAGUUCCUUAGUUAUGCUGUCAUUGGACCGGUGUGCUUCUUGUAUCUAGAAAUUACAAAUUUUGUUUGUUUGCCCUUUCCUCUCUAACAAACUGAGAGUUUGACUGCGAGACUGAUGAAAUCAUGGAUCCAAGUGAUUUGUUAUGUGAUAUAGAUGGAGUACUUGGAGAUGUUUCAAGAGUUUAGUACUUGGAGAUGUUUCAAGAGUUUAUGUAGACGAGAUAGUACUUGGAGAUGUUUCAGGAGCUCAUGUAAGAGAACGGCCAACUGAGAGUUUGAUUUGAUUUUAAAGUUUUUAAAGUUUAAUAUGUAAUUUUGGAUUACUAUUUUUUUUUUUUAAAUUGUGUUCAUCGAUUCUAUUUUUAUGAAUGUUGUUUUAGUAAUUAAUGAAAAGUUUAUUUUCAA